GACUGUGCUGAGGCGUUCCGCCCGCCUCCCCCUCCACGCCACUCAAGGCACGGCGGCGGCCCAACCGCAAACUAACGGAGAUUAACAAGAGGCUGGAUGCACUUGGCUCCCUGCUGCGUCCAUCACCAGAGGGGCUGGGAUUGCUGCGGCAGCUAGCCAAUUAAAGGAGGAGGAUGAAGGAGAGGAGGAUGAAGGAGAGGAGUCUGACGACGCAGACAUCGCCAUCGUAUGCAGACCACGCCCUCGCAGGAAGACCAUUUAAUGAAAACGCUUGCAGCAGAACACACCGGCACGACUGACAGAGCUUCUGAAGCAUGCAGUAGAAGAGCUCAGUCAAGCUAAAAGUCCCGCCCUCCAACCUGCUGCUGCUGCACGGCGAGGCGGAACUUAACACCUCACACACUAUUGGCCAGCUAGGACUCUGCAUCGCUGACAUCAUUGUCUGGAACCAACUUCACAUCCCUCUUCACUGCACUACUGACAGUGAGAUGGAAUCCACAACCCAACCACUAGUGGUCUGCAUUGGGAACCUGAAGAGUCUGUCAUAACCGCCAGGAAUGACCGUGUGACCAUUCCCGUUGCAGACGGCCUGACUUGCACAAUUGACAAGCUGUUCAAGCUUUACUGGGUCUGCAACUUGUCAUAUCCAGCACAGCUCAGCUCUGUUUUCACCUUCUUUGAAUAUGUUUAUGACGUUCCCAUCUCAACCAACAAACGACCAAAGGUACUAGAACUUCUCUCAAAACUUCCCAGCAGCCCAGUGAUCACUCAACAUGUGUUUAUGCCCAAAAUGUAAAUAGUUACUACAGACAUCAAGAAAGUAGUUUGGCAUCUUUGUCAAGUACACGCUUUGUCAGAUGUGCAGGAUAUGAUGAUAAUUUGCAGCCAAGAUGGCUGUUCAAGUGUACAAGGACUUACUACGUAGACACCACCUACGUAGACACCACCAGUCCACAACAACAGAAAUGGGUGUAUCUUUCAAUGACUCUUUUGAAUCCACUGACAUUCAGACAGCCUAUAAGUAACACCUGAAGAAGGAGCUGAAGAAGGUCCUUCUCAAGGACCGAUUCACCAUAAUUUACCACUUAAUGACAAUUUAUCUGUGUUGAUGCUUGUUAGGAUUAUUACAGGGAAUUAUUUUGAUUAUCAUUUUGGCAACACUUUAUUUUAGCAUUACAUCUAUUAGCUCUAAUACAUACAGUGUUAAUGCCUGUAUGCUGUAUAAGUAACUUGCAAGCAA